rnacentral:rRNA from 1 species
GUGAACGCUGGCGGUAGGCCUAACACAUGCCAGUCGACCGGCAGCACAGUAAGAGCUUGCUCUUACGGGUGGCGAGUGGCGGACGGGUGAGGAAUACAUCGGAAUCUACUUUUUCGUGGGGGAUAACGUAGGGAAACUUACGCUAAUACCGCAUACGACCUACGGGUGAAAGCAGGGGAUCUUCGGACCUUGCGCGAUUGAAUGAGCCGAUGUCGGAUUAGCUAGUUGGCGGGGUAAAGGCCCACCAAGGCGACGAUCCGUAGCUGGUCUGAGAGGAUGAUCAGCCACACUGGAACUGAGACACGGUCCAGACUCCUACGGGAGGCAGCAGUGGGGAAUAUUGGACAAUGGGCGCAAGCCUGAUCCAGCCAUACCGCGUGGGUGAAGAAGGCCUUCGGGUUGUAAAGCCCUUUUGUUGGGAAAGAAAAGCAGCAGGUUAAUACCCCGCUGUUCUGACGGUACCCAAAGAAUAAGCACCGGCUAACUUCGUG